CCCAAUUCCAAAUGACAUCUGGAAGCCACCAUCGCCAAACCCAAAGCCCUGGAAUCCCUGCAAAGAACAAAGAACAGGAGGCAAAAAAGGUUGUUCUGACAACGACUGACAUUCGCUACGUCCAGGAAUCAAGAGUGGCAGCAGAUGAAUGGUUAAGAAACAAGAAACUCAUUUGCAAAGAGGCUUCCUAAAUAAACACAGAAGUCUGGUGGAGCGUGAAGACAUGCAAGUGGAGGUACAUGAGAGGGUGAAACUCCAAAAGGCAGACUGGGACCUGAGCCAGCUGAGAGGACAGGAGGUCCAGGACAGGAGUAAGUGCAGGGACUGGGAAUGUCCAUGUGCUGGGUGUGAUACUGCUACAGAUCUCAUUAAGAAAGGAAUUUUCCUCUAAUAUUUUAAAAACUUAAUCUGUAAGUCUACUGGGAGCUACUGCACACCAGGAAAGCAUAAGCUGUCAAAGUGGCUUUCAAAGAUCACACCCCUGAACUCAGCAAAUGAUAAUGACUACAUUUGCCAAGGUACACUGGCCCAACCCUCAGAACACGGGAAAAACACUUCAAGACAGGCUAGAGGAGUUUUCACCAUAACUUCAGGUAUAUAAAAUAAAUCUGCUGGAAACAGCAGGUGAGCAUUAAUUCAACCUGGGAAAGGCAGAGAAGGAAUAUAAAUUAGAAGCUAAUUUCACCUACAUAAAACAGUCCUUGAAUACAUGUUCACAGUAUGACAUUAGGAUGUCUCAAGUAUUGAAUUUUUUCACGAACAAUGAGAAAACAUUCUGGUGAAGAUAUAGAAGUCUGGCUAGUUUAUUAACAAAAUCCAGUUGUUCUUCCUUGCCAUAACAAUGAAAUAAAAAGGGCAGCACUAUUGGAUGUCAAUUCCACUGGAAAGACCCUUUUCCAUAUUUCUUUCCUAAUUAAUCUUAUUUUAGCUAAGAUUAUUGAAAUUGAAAUAAUCCAAAUCUAUUUAUGAAACAAGUUCUGAUUUAGCUCCUGAACCUUUUUCUGUUUAAAUGAAAAAGAAGACUUGUCAGUAUUAUCUUAUUACUAAGGUAACAGUGUCAUUUUCUGACACUUAAAAAUUUUAUAAAAGGAAUAUUAACAUUAGAAAAUUAAUUUAAAUCUAAAAUUACUACUGAGAGUUUAUAUAAAGAUGUCUACUCAUAAGUCUAGCAACAGUUUGAUACUUACAUAUUACAAUUGCCUGGGCUUCAAGUACAACAACCAGGUAACCUUAGCUAAAAACUGCUGACAGCGCCUAGAAGAAAGUGCACUGCCUUCUUGACAGUCAUUCAGACAUUUUUAACAAACACAUGACUGUCUUGCUGUUAAUCAUUAAAUACAUAUUUAUCUCUCACUACCUUUUUACUCUUUUCUGUCCCCCAAACAUGUUACAUUUUAACUCCUUGGAAACAUUUCUCGAGUUCAUCUUUCUCCCUCCUGUAACCUGUACAGCAUUGGGCACCCACUGUUUAAUAAAGUGGUCCCAAAACAUGAA